CCGAGGGAGUACUUGACGGGCUUGUCUGGACAGACCCGGUGCGGGGAUGUGAUCUGCAAGAUACAUCAUCAACACUCAUUUUCAGCACAGAAGCCAUCCGCCAGAAAGCAACCUCCGUCCUACAUGGCAAUUAAUCGUCACCAUGACUGCACCAGCUUCCGGUGGAACCCUUUCUCUACUCAGGGUCCUUGGUUGUGGCCCCGCAUACCUUGAGAUAUGACCACCGUGGCCUCUCUUCAAACCCCACUGCAACCCUCUGCACGAUUCUACGCCUGGUCAGACCCUUCCUGGGACCUGCGUCCAGUUCCGGCACCAAGACAACUCCAGAUAAACUUAGGAUACGCUGCGGUGAAUCGCUUACACUCAAGCAUCUCUACAGAAUUCUUGUCUGUCAAGUCAGAGGCAAGCCCCACUAUCCAUACUAUCCGCUCCUUAAACUCUGUCUCCUGUACUCUGCUCUCACUGUUACUUCCCUCUAAUUUUCUGCCAAAGUUUCCAGAAUCCUUGUUCCACUGUAACAAGCGUCCCUCGCAUCCCUGCUCCUGCGGAGCUCCCUGAGCACAGUCCCCUGAGAAGCACUGUGCUCUCAGCGCAGACUUUCCUACUGUAACCCGAGCUGCAGAAGCCGCACAUUCUUUCAAGCUUCACAAAUCGAGGAUGCAGGAGAGGACAAGAGCUCCUGAGAGACACAUCUGACCUGUGCUGUCCUGCGUAGCGUGCACCGUCCUUUCUCCUCUCGGACAGUACUUGACAUGAAAUCCAUUAUUCAUUCAGAUUGCUGACAGACUACCCGACUUCCAAUCACUCUCCCCCAGUCACGGGUGAUUUGGGACUUGCCUGUCCACAAGCUUCUUCUUCCUAACUCCUAAGAAUACAGACCAAUGGAAACCUGAAUUCCCAUGAUGCUCAGGAACUGAGAACGUCAAAUUGAGUUUACUACACUCAUUCCACUCAGAGAUUUCCAAAUGUUAUACAGCCACACUACAGUGCUCUUGGAGAUAUUAACAAUGUAUUUAUUCUCAGAAGGAGAAUUUCCAGUCAUGUGAGUUCUUAACCGUACCUGGACAUGGCCUCCUCUGAGAAAGCUACCAAAAAUGCUCGCACAUCAUACAGACUUCGCACCUCGGUACUGAUAAACCUUCUAAAAUCCAUCUAAGGUGUGAGCUGGAACAGGUAUAAAAAUGACACCCAGGCGGUCUCUGCCACGACUAUAAUACAUCAAGGACAAAUGGCCCACGGCAGUGGUGGCAAACGCAGGCGUGAGUGCGGGAGCCAGAUGUCUGCACCGCUGAACGCUGCAAAGGCUUGCGUCCACUGCCUAGGCUUUCAGAGCAAAUGUCGGUCAUCCUGUUGUCACUAAGCCCAGGACCACUUGUUUUAAAUACUGACCAACCCAGCACUGAAGAACACUGACAACAGCGAAGUUCAGCAAGGAUGGAGAACAACAGGAACUCCCUCACAUCAGGAACUCGCACUUGCUUCCAGUGAGUGUGUAAA